GUGCCUUGAGAUCCCUUGGAAAUUCUACAUGCAGUAUGUUGGGAAACUUCUCUUUUCUCAAAAUCUGUCCACAGCUGAGAGCUGUCCAUCACUGUUCCUUCCCUCCUGAUCACAGAUCCCCACCACAGAAGAGGAAGAGGGACCAAGGCUGCCCCCGCAGGAGUGGAGUGCUGGUAGCCCUGGGCAGAGUGUCUGAGUCACACUUUUUGUCACAUCCUUUUUCUUUCCCCAGCUGACUGUUUUAGGACGUGAAAGGCUCUUGUGAUUGGCUGCCUCCAAGGGGCCACUAUUUCAGUUCUGCUGGUCCUUUGGAGUCAGGGCUAAAUAAAUAGUUCCUGCUGGGGAAAGUGGUCUCGGAUUAGAGGAGCCCACGCCCCUGCCACGCACUGCUGCCUGGAGUGAAGUGGGUCCCCUUGCUGCUCCCUGUAUACCCCCAUGCAUCUCCGCUUCACCCACAGUCCAUUUUUCGGGCGGCAGCUGCGGCCUGGCGGAGUGGAGCUGCAACCCCAGUUGUCGUUCCGCUCAUGCCUGGCAGGACCUCCUGAACGCCAGAGACCCAAGAAGCAAGUGGUGUUUGCAGACACGAGAGGGCUCUCGUUGAUAUCCGUACACACAUUUGAAGAUGCUGCGGGCAGAGCCCCUGAGGAGGGCUGGUGUCCGGUGCCCAGUUUCCCUGAACCACCAUCACCGGUGUCACCAGAGUCACCAACCUGCUCCCUGGACUUCUGCACCCAAUGGAAGGACCCCAGGGGAUUCCAGAGGCGAGUGCAGACUCAGGGAGUGUGCUUGGAGCAGUGCUCUGAGCAGAGGCCUUCCUGCGGGGCACCGAAUGGGUGCAACCGCAGGGCUUGCAGGAGGUGGUGUGGAUGCGGAUGCACAUGGCCUUCAAUGCUGGGGGCUCUUUCCAAGAAGUGACCUAUGUUUAUGGGCCCCAUCUUUGAUGCAGGUGAGAUGUUGCCAAGAAGUCCCCCAACCGUCGAGUAUGGUUCCAGUUUUGCUUCAGUUUUGGUUUCAGUUGUGCUCAGCAUUUGGGGGACAAUAAUCAAGGGCAAAACUACUGACCGCUUGGUGCCAGUCUCACAGUCCUGCUCAUUAGAGUCAAGCUGAUCCCUCUGUGAUUGCUUUUACUGUCUAAGUGAAGCCUGAUUUUUUUUUUUUGCCCAGAUGUGCGUGUUUUCUAUCUCUCCUGGAACUGUUUUCAGACUCUUCUUGACCUGAAUUCAUUGUGGGAGAUAGGAUUGACCCAACUCAUAGCCCCUGCAGAAGGCCUGGAAUGCCUUGCAUUCUUCUCUCACGUGGGCAGGCUCACUUCCUGACCCAAGAGAGCUGUUUUCCUGUAGGAAGAUUCCCAGUUGGACAACCUUUCCCAUUGCUGGGAAGCCUUUGGAGCAAGCAGGAAACAGAAGAUAUGUAAAUAAAGACUUUAUAUGUAAUUUUUUGAAA